rnacentral:rRNA from 1 species
GACAGAGGGUGCAAACGUUGUUCGGAAUUACUGGGCGUAAAGCGUGUGUAGGCUGCUACAUAAGUCGGAUGUGAAAGCCCAGGGCUCAACCCUGGAAGUGCACUGGAUACGACGGCGCUGGAGUCCUGAAGAGGAGGGCGGAAUUCCCGGUGUAGAGGUGAAAUUCGUAGAUAUCGGGAGGAACACCAGUGGCGAAGGCGGCUCUCUGGACAGGUACUGACGCUGAGACGCGAAAGCGUGGGUAGCAAACAGGA